rnacentral:rRNA from 1 species
GACGAACGCUGGCGGCGUGCUUAACACAUGCAAGUCGAACGGAAAGGCCCUGCUUUUGUGGGGUGCUCGAGUGGCGAACGGGUGAGUAACACGUGAGUAACCUGCCCUUGACUUUGGGAUAACUUCAGGAAACUGGGGCUAAUACCGGAUAGGAGCUCCUGCUGCAUGGUGGGGGUUGGAAAGUUUCGGCGGUUGGGGAUGGACUCGCGGCUUAUCAGCUUGUUUGUGUGGUAUUGGCUUACCACGGCUUUGACGGGUAGCCGGCCUGGGAGGGUGACCGGCCACAUUGGGACUGAGAUACGGCCCAGACUCCUACGGGAGGCAGCAGUGGGGAAUAUUGCACAAUGGGCGGAAGCCUGAUGCAGCAACGCCGCGUGCGGGAUGACGGCCUUCGGGUGGUAAACCGCUUUCGCCUGUGACGAAGCGUGAGUGACGGUAAUGGGUAAAGAAGCACCGGCUAACUACGUG